CCUACGGGAGGCUGCAGUGAGGAAUAUUGGUCAAUGGUCGGGAGACUGAACCAGCCAAGCCGCGUGAGGGAGGAAGGUACAGAGUAUUGUAAACCUCUUUUGUCAGGGAACAAAGACUGGGACGCGUCCCCGGAUGAGUGUACCUGAAGAAAAAGCAUCGGCUAACUCCGUGCCAGCAGCCGCGGUAAUACGGAGGAUGCGAGCGUUAUCCGGAUUUAUUGGGUUUAAAGGGUGCGCAGGCGGUAGGUUAAGUCAGCGGUAAAAUCCCGGGGCUCAACCCCGGCCCGCCGUUGAAACUGGCAGUCUCGAGUUGGAGAGAAGUAUGCGGAAUGCGCGGUGUAGCGGUGAAAUGCAUAGAUAUCGCGCAGAACUCCGAUUGCGAAGGCAGCAUGCCGGCUCCACACUGACGCUGAGGCACGAAAGCGUGGGUAUCGAACAGGAUUAGAUACCCGGGUAGUC
rnacentral:rRNA from 1 species